rnacentral:piRNA from 1 species
UGAUAGAAUCAUUCUAUUUCA